UACGUAGGGGGCAAGCGUUGUCCGGAAUCAUUGGGCGUAAAGAGCGCGUAGGCGGCCCUGUAAGUCCGCUGUGAAAGUCAAGGGCUCAACCCUUGAAUGCCGGUGGAUACUGCAGGGCUAGAGUCCGGAAGAGGCGAGUGGAAUUCCUGGUGUAGCGGUGAAAUGCGCAGAUAUCAGGAGGAACACCGAUGGCGAAGGCAGCUCGCUGGGACGGUACUGACGCUGAGACGCGAAAGCGUGGGGAUCGAACAGG
rnacentral:rRNA from 1 species